rnacentral:lncRNA from 1 species
UGUAGGUUAGAUAUUUUUCUUUGUGUUAUAAGCAAGGUAAAACGUUAACAUGGAAACCUUUAGAUAACUUCAUUUAAAAACAAAAAACCUUUGGUUUCAGGCUUACUUACUUUUCUUGGUUGAUAUCAGAUACAAAGAACUCACCGAGCAGCAGCUCCCAGGUGCACUUCCUCCUGAAUGUACUCCCAACAUAGAUGGACCAAAUGCUAAGUCUGUGCAGAGGGAGCAGAGCUUACAUUCAUUUCAUACGCUUUUCUGUCGGCGAUGUUUUAAGUAUGACUGCUUCCUACAUCCUUUUCAUGCAACACCCAACACAUACAAGCGGAAAAACACAGAAACAGCUCUGGACAACAAGCCUUGUGGACCUCAGUGUUACCAGCACCUGCCACUCCUACCUAGGAACUAAAUGGGUAUAUAUUGCCUGUUGGAUUUUGGACAGAAGAUUCAUUGAAUGGCACCUGCAGAAGGAGGGAGCGAAGGAGUUUGCUGCUGCCCUCACAGCUGAGCGGAUAAAGACACCGCCCAAGCGCCCUGGGGGCCGAAGGCGAGGCCGGCUCCCCAACAACAGCAGCAGGCCCAGCACCCCUACCAUCAAUGUGCUGGAGUCAAAGGACACCGACAGCGACAGAGAAGCAGGGACUGAAACUGGGGGAGAAAAUAACGAUAAAGAAGAAGAAGAGAAAAAGGAUGAAACUUCGAGCUCCUCUGAAGCAAAUUCUCGGUGUCAAACCCCAAUAAAGAUGAAGCCAAAUAUCGAACCUCCUGAGAAUGUGGAGUGGAGUGGUGCCGAAGCCUCGAUGUUCAGGGUCCUCAUCGGCACUUACUAUGAUAAUUUCUGUGCUAUCGCCAGGUUGAUUGGGACCAAAACAUGCAGGCAGGUGUAUGAGUUUAGAGUCAAAGAAUCGAGCAUCAUAGCACCUGCUCCUGCGGAGGACGUGGACACUCCUCCACGAAAGAAGAAGAGGAAACACCGGUUGUGGGCUGCACACUGCAGAAAGAUACAACUGAAAAAGGAUGGCUCCUCUAACCAUGUUUACAACUAUCAACCCUGUGACCAUCCACGGCAGCCUUGUGACAGUUCAUGCCCUUGUGUGAUAGCACAAAAUUUUUGUGAAAAGUUUUGUCAAUGUAGUUCAGAGUGUCAGAACCGCUUUCCUGGAUGCCGCUGCAAAGCACAGUGCAACACCAAGCAGUGCCCAUGCUACCUGGCUGUCCGAGAGUGUGACCCAGACCUCUGCCUGACAUGCGGAGCUGCAGACCACUGGGACAGCAAGAACGUGUCCUGCAAGAAUUGUAGCAUCCAGAGGGGCUCCAAAAAGCAUUUACUGCUGGCACCAUCGGAUGUAGCAGGCUGGGGGAUUUUCAUCAAAGAUCCUGUGCAAAAAAAUGAAUUCAUCUCGGAAUACUGUGGAGAGGUGAGGCAUGCUCUUUGGCUGAGUUCUCAAGUUGUUGGUAAUACUGCUUUGUUCUGA